AAUUUUUAAUUUUUCAAAGAUGCUAAAAAGAAAAACAUGAUAUAAUUUUUGAAAAACAAUUUUUUAUUUCCUAUUCCUACUAUCUAAAUUAAGCACUCCUAAAAGACUUCAAGUAAUUUUAAAAUAAUUCAAGAGAGUUGAGUUACUUACCUUGUAGUCGAAGCCCGUCAAAGUCCAAUUCGUCGUUUCACCUUUGGAAGUUCUUGAUUCAUGCUUGGUUGCCU
rnacentral:lncRNA from 1 species